GCCUGGAUGGUUUACUCGGUUAAGCAUCUGACUUUGGCUCAGGUCAUGAUCUCACGGCUUGUGGGUUGGAGACCCACGUCGGGCU
rnacentral:tRNA from 1 species